ensembl:misc_RNA Metazoa_SRP Metazoan signal recognition particle RNA
GCUGGGCAUGGUGGCGCAUGCCUGUAAUCCCAGCUACUCAGGAGGCUGAGGCAGGAGAAUUGCCUGAACCCAGGAGAGCAGAGGUUGCGGUGAGCCGAGAUUGCGCCACUGCACUCCAGCCUGGGUAACAAGAGCGAAACUCCGUCUCAA